rnacentral:rRNA from 1 species
AUCGAACGCUGGCGGCAGGCCUAACACAUGCAAGUCGAGCGAGCGGAGGACGGGUGUGUAAUGUAUGGGGACGGCCCGAUAGAGGGGGAUAACUACUGGAAACGGUGGCUAAUACCGCAUACUAACGGAUAACCCAUAUGGGAUUAGCUAGUUGGUGGGGUAAAGGCUCCCCUAGGCGACGAUCUCUAGUUGGUCUGGGAGGAUGAUGAGCCACACUGGGCCGGAGACACGGGCGAGACGGCUUCGGACGCAGCGGAGGGAGAUAUGGCACAUUGGGCGCAAUCCUGAUGCAGCCAUGCCGCGGGUAUGAAGAAGGCCUUAAGGUUGUAAAGGACGUUCAGCGAGGUGGCGUUACCCGGAGAAGAAGCACCGGCUAACUCCGUGCCAGCAGCCGCGGUAAUUC